CGCGUUCUAACUCCAUCCUCACCGCUCACAUCUCACAACCGUACCCUCACCUCACGGCCGGCAUCUCCGUAGGACACGGCAAUCACCUCACCGCAUCUCCGGCCUCGACUCCCGGCGAGGACACGGCGACGCCUGACCUCACCAUCGACUCCCUCAGCCGUCGCUAUAGUACGCGCGUUCUCCUCACUGCCACCGUCUCAUCAUCGAUUCACCGCCCCACGCCCUCAUCCGCCGUCUCCACCGCCACAGGGUCGCCGCCGCUCCUUCGAUCCACCGCUCCAGCCGCUGCUUCGUCCAUCAGGUGUAUGUAGACAACUAUGAGUAAUCAAUCUAUCAUUUAAUACAUUACACCUUAACUAUCAUUUGUUGGCUGCCUUCUUAUGCUUCUUCUUCUGCUUAAAAUGGAUGGAGAGUAC